rnacentral:lncRNA from 1 species
AGGUGGUACAUGUGUUUACAGUUUAUUGAGUAGUUUAGGAAUGCAGCACACUGGGCAGUAACUGGAGUACUGCCUGCAGCACAGGGCCUGGACAGUGUUCUUACUUUCUAAGAAUUUCAUACACAAGUACAACCCACUAGGAUACACCCCCACCCCCUGCCUUUCCCUGACUGGCUGUCUUCUCUUUUCACUUUGAAUAUUCUAUUUAUUUUUGCUUUCCCUCUCUCAUCCCACCAUUCCUGUUGUCUCUGGUGGCCUCCCCCUUCUUCUUGUGGCACCUUUUGGUAUGCUAGGAGCAACUCUGCCACUUAGCCAUGUUCUCACCUUACGGUAUUUACCACCACCUAUUAUGGACAUUAUACCCAAGUCCAUGGCUCAAUAGGUGGUCCGAAGUGGUGGUGUUUUGAGAGGCUGUGAGACAUGGCUGGCAGUUGAAUCACGGGGUCAGGUUUUGAUGCUUCUAUGUUCUUUGCUUCCCAUCUCUCUCUGCUCCUCCUCCCAAGCCACAACUUGAUUAACUCCUGCUGCCACAAACAGGGCAGGCAGCCCUAACCUCUGUUCCUUGCUCACCAUGGCAGACUAUAACCCUGAAACUGGGCCAAAACUAACCUCUCUUCCCCUAUGAUGCUCCCGUCAGGCAUCUGUUGACAGUUACAUAAAACAUACACUACUCCACCACAAUGUCAAGUAUUUUUAAAGACUAAGAGACAUAAACAUCUCAACCCAAUGACUGGGAUCCGAGUGGGAAUAGCUAAAAAGUAGAAAGGGGCACGGGGCUCAAGACCCACUGCUAGGCAAUCACCCUACAGCCACAGCAGAGAGAAACUCCAGGACAGAGAGACCUACAGAGAAAUACCAAUACAUACACCUUGGGGCAACGGGGACCACCAGGCUACCUUUCAGGGCCCACUGCCCCACAGUACACAAUGUAUCUAGGUACACGCAUCACUGAAGCAGCAGAGGGAUCAGGGUACAAGAUCCCUCAACAUAACUCAACACUUCCUGACAACCUUGAGGAACAUCCUAAAGGUUGCACCUUUAACAGUCUCAAACAUGCAAGUGACUGACCUAUAUACCUCAAAGGCGUGUAAAGCUCAAUCGGAAGACAGAAAUAUCAAAGAAAGCAAAAUGAAUCCUUUUAAAAGUUCUACUCUAUCAAAUAAGAUUGCUGGAGAGUGGUGGCCCACACCUUUAACCCCGGCCCUUAGACAGAGGCAGGUGGAUCUAAGCUGAGUUUUCUCUUUCUCAUUAUGUAGCUUGGCUGAUUUGAACAGAGGUCAGCUAAGCUACAAAGAUGAUCCUGUCUCACAACAAAAACAAGAGUCAUGCUACUGAAAGCAACCUAUACGAUCAAGGUAUAGAAUGGAAAUGAGAAAAAUGGUGAUGCAUCAAAGUAUACCACACACAUGUAUAAAAAUGUCACAAUGAAAUGAUAUCUUUACAGUUCUAUCAUAUAGAGACUGGCAAGGGACAUUUACAACCUUGCAGAGGUUAUUUUUAACAUAGACACAAUUGUGGAAAAAUAAACCAAAAAGAUUUAAGUCUAUAAAAUAUAAAAGUAGUCAAAGAAUUAUGAGAUUAUAGGGCUAAAAAAAAACAAAAAACAAACACACCAGGUUUAGGUCAGAACAAAAUCCACUUCAAAGUUAAGCCUAUAAACGAUUGGGAGGCAGAAGGAAGUUCAAGGCCAGCCUGGUCUACACUGUGAGACCCUGUCUCAAAAAGAUAAGACUGCUUCACCAUGUAUCCUGGAUGGGCCUGGAACUCAAAGAUCCACCUACCUGCCUCUGCCUCCCAAGUGUUGAGAUCAUAAUGAGAGUCACCAUGCCCCACCAAGCAGUGGCUCUUAACCCAGACAUACUAUGCCCAGGGCCUCCUCCUAAUAAUUCAAAGUAAAAUAUCUGGGCAUCAAGAUUGACCACCACAGAAAUAACCACUGCUCUUCCAGAGGCUCUACAGGCCUCUGUUAGUGCCACACACACAUAAAUACAACAGUAAAUCAAGAAAAGGGGAAACCUUUUUGCAUUUGUGAUGAAGAAAGGCAAACCGUCUCCCAAUGGAAACUGAACGUUUCAAAAGGCUCAGAUGUGCCAUUAAACAGGCAGGUGGCAACCACACCACCACACUGUAUUUUUUCAUUUCAAAUAGCUACAAGGACCAUAAUGAUAAAUGCUUGAGGCAUACAUAGCCUGACUUUACACAAUGUACAAAUCUCAAAGUAUCACCUGGUACUCUUUAAAUAUUACAUUGUUGUUUUACUAAAACUAUUAUACAUAUCUUCAUCAAGUACUCAAACCCAAUAAUACGCUAUAUAAAUUGUUUCAAACCAACCUUUUAAUAAAAAAAAUUUAUGUGCACAUGAAUACUGACGUCCAAGGAGACCAGAGGUGUGUGGGUCUUCUUGAAGGGCAGUGUGUGUUCUUAACUGUGGUUCCACUCGCCAGCCCCCAAAUUACCUUUUUUGAAAUAUCUCUGUGUGUGCAUACCCCACCAUGUGUGUAUGGAUAGCUUGCAGGAGUUGGUUUUCUCCUUCCACCAUGUAGUAGAUCCCACAGACUGACCUUCCGUCUUCAGGGCAGCUGCUAAGUGUAGAUGCCUUUACCGGCUGAGUUACCUUACCAUUUCCAAAGUACACUUCUCUGUGGAAUACUCAUUCUUAGGCAUAGAGAUCUACUAUCUGCCUCCAAAAUGCUGGGUGACCAUUAUAUCUAUCCAACUUUUAGAGAUAGAACCCAGGGCAUAGUACAUGUGCUAGGCAAGUGGCUC